UUUUUCCUCAAAUUUAUCCAA
rnacentral:miRNA from 1 species